rnacentral:tRNA from 1 species
GAGUGCGUAGUGUAACUGAAUAACACGUCAGUCUACGAAACUGAAGAUUCAAGGUUUGAGUCCUUGCGCGCUCA